GAGAGAAAGAGAGAGAGAAAGAGAGAGAGAGAGAGAGAGAGAGAGAGAGAGUGAACAUCCAAGCAGCCCACUUCCUGACCAAUUACUGCUGCAAGACUAGCCUCUUUCCCUCUUUCCAACUGGGCCCUCGCUCUCUCUCCUCGCUCACUUUGCGGAGAGGGUGAGCCGCAAGAACUGGAGAGCGGCCAGACACUGCAGGCGACGCCAGUGACACGAGUGAAAUUAACACUGGAAAAAGCGAGAGUGAGGUGUCGCUGUAACUGUGAUGAGGAGAGAAGGGGGGGAGACGGCGAUCAAGAAUUAAUGUGAGAUAAUAGUGAUUAACAGGAGAGGGGGUGGGUAUGUGUGACCGAAAGCUGGCGCAGAAGGAGAGAAAAAGAGGGCAGUGCAAGGACGAGACGUCUCGUCUAACCCCCAAAAGAACACGACAAAGCAGGAUGGAGGAAAGUCCCUGUUCUCGGAACCAGUGGUGGUUGUUCCUGCCUCCUGGUUGCAAGGCUUCCUGGGAUUGAUGAAGCAGCUCCUGGCCCGAGACCAGUAACCCUACAAACAGGGCUGGUUACCACAAACACAGUCCCGAUCCUAUGUAAACCAACACCACACCUUGCACUUUAAAACACACGGAGACAACGACAGACGAUGGCACCGAGGAAAAACAAGCCCAGCGCCUGCUGCCAACUUGACACUCGUGUCUUUGUUUCUAUUCUGCUUC